rnacentral:lncRNA from 1 species
AUGACGUAUAAAGAACCAGUAAAAGCAAUAGAAGAAGAAUUGAAGUUCAUCAAAAAUCUUAUAGAAAAGAAUGAACAAAAUAAAAACAAAUAUAAAGAAAUUCGAGAGAUGAACGAAACAACCUUUAAUCAAAUAGAUCAAGAGACAGGUGCUAAAUAAAAAAAAUAAAAAAAAUAAAAACUAAAAAAAUUUCA